UUAAUAACAAUGGGGAGUUAGAUGAAUCUGGCUGAGAGGAAGCUAUAUUGCUUCGACCCGUAUUACCUGAACUGGAUAAUGCCAGCGGAGGGAAAAUAUUGUCUGUUUAUUU
rnacentral:ncRNA from 2 species